AGUCAAGUAAUUAAGUGCAUGUGGUGGAUGCCUUGGCAGUCAGAGGCGAUGAAAGACGUGAUAGCCUGCGAAAAGCUCCGGGGAGGCGGCAAAUAUCCUUUGAUCCGGAGAUGUCUGAAUGGGGGAACCCACCUACUUUAAGGUAGGUAUUGCAACAUGAAUACAUAGUGUUGCAAGGCGAACGAGGGGAAGUGAAACAUCUCAGUACCCUUAGGAAAAGAAAUCAAUUGAGAUUCCCUCAGUAGCGGCGAGCGAACGGGGAUCAGCCCAUUAAGUUAUGUGUGUUUUAGUGGAACGCUCUGGGAAGUGCGAACGUAGAGGGUGAUAUUCCCGUACACGAAAGGGCACACAUAAUGAUGACGAGUAGGGCGAGGCACGUGAAACCUUGUCUGAAUAUGGGGGGACCAUCCUCCAAGGCUAAAUACUCCUGACUGACCGAUAGUGAACCAGUACCGUGAGGGAAAGGCGAAAAGAACCCCUGUGAGGGGAGUGAAAUAGAUCCUGAAACCGCAUGCAUACAAGCAGUGGGAGCACCUUCGUGGUGUGACUGCGUACCUUUUGUAUAAUGGGUCAGCGACUUAUAUUCAGUAGCGAGGUUAACCGUAUAGGGGAGCCGUAGAGAAAUCGAGUCUUAAUAGGGCGUUUAGUUGCUGGGUAUAGACCCGAAACCAGGCGAUCUAUCCAUGAGCAGGUUGAAGGUUGGGUAACACUAACUGGAGGACCGAACCCACUGUCGUUGAAAAGCCAGGGGAUGACUUGUGGAUAGGGGUGAAAGGCUAAUCAAGCCUGGUGAUAGCUGGUUCUCCCCGAAAGCUAUUUAGGUAGCGCCUCGGACGAAUACCAUAGGGGGUAGAGCACUGUUUCGGCUAGGGGGUCAUCCCGACUUACCAAACCGAUGCAAACUCCGAAUACCUAUGAGUACUAUCCGGGAGACAGACUGCGGGUGCUAACGUCCGUAGUCAAGAGGAAAACAAUCCAGACCGCCAGCUAAGGCCCCAAAAUCAUAGUUAAGUGGGAAACGAUGUGGGAAGGCAUAGACAGCUAGGAGGUUGGCUUAGAAGCAGCCACCCUUUAAAGAAAGCGUAAUAGCUCACUAGUCGAGUCGGCCUGCGCGGAAGAUGUAACGGGGCUAAAACUAUGUGCCGAAGCUGCGGAUGUAUACUUUGUAUACGUGGUAGGGGAGCGUUCUGUAAGCCGAUGAAGGUGUGUUGAGAAGCAUGCUGGAGGUAUCAGAAGUGCGAAUGCUGACGUGAGUAACGACAAAACGGGUGAAAAACCCGUUCGCCGAAAGACCAAGGGUUCCAGUCCAACGUUAAUCGGGGCUGGGUGAGUCGACCCCUAAGGCGAGGCCGAAAGGCGUAGUCGAUGGGAAAAUGGUUAAUAUUCCAUUACUUCUGUGUAAUGCGAUGAGAGGACGGAGAAGGCUAAAUCAGCCUGGCGUUGGUUGUCCAGGUGAAAGGAUGUAGGCAUGUAUCUUAGGCAAAUCCGGGGUACUCUAUGCUGAGAUCUGAUAGCAAGCUGUACUUGUACAGCGAAGUGGUUGAUGCCAUGCUUCCAGGAAAAGUCUCUAAGCUUCAGUUACACAGGAAUCGUACCCGAAACCGACACAGGUGGUCAGGUCGAGUAGACCAAGGCGCUUGAGAGAACUCUGCUGAAGGAACUAGGCAAAAUGGUACCGUAACUUCGGGAGAAGGUACGCUGUUGUUGGUGAUGGAACUCGCUUCCUGAGCUGACGACAGCCGCAGAAACCAGGCCGCUGCAACUGUUUAUUAAAAACAUAGCACUCUGCAAACACGAAAGUGGACGUAUAGGGUGUGAUGCCUGCCCGGUGCUGGAAGGUUAAUUGAUGGGGUUAGCGUAAGCGAAGCUCUUGAUCGAAGCCCCAGUAAACGGCGGCCGUAACUAUAACGGUCCUAAGGUAGCGAAAUUCCUUGUCGGGUAAGUUCCGACCUGCACGAAUGGCAUAAUGAUGGCGGCGCUGUCUCCAGCAGAGGCUCAGUGAAAUCGAAAUCGCUGUGAAGAUGCAGUGUACCCGCGGCUAGACGGAAAGACCCCGUGAACCUUUACUGCAGCUUGACACUGAACUUUGACCUUACUUGUGUAGGAUAGGUGGGAGGCUUUGAAGCUGGAACGCUAGUUCCAGUGGAGCCGUCCUUGAAAUACCACCCUGGUAAUGUUGAGGUUCUAACUCUGUCCCGUGAUCCGGGACGAGGACCGUGUCUGGUGGGUAGUUUGACUGGGGCGGUCUCCUCCUAAAGAGUAACGGAGGAGUACGAAGGUGCGCUCAGCGUGGUCGGAAAUCACGCGUAGAGUAUAAGGGCAAAAGCGCGCUUAACUGCGAGACCCACAAGUCGAGCAGGUACGAAAGUAGGUCUUAGUGAUCCGGUGGUUCUGUAUGGAAGGGCCAUCGCUCAACGGAUAAAAGGUACUCUGGGGAUAACAGGCUGAUACCGCCCAAGAGUUCAUAUCGACGGCGGUGUUUGGCACCUCGAUGUCGGCUCAUCUCAUCCUGGGGCUGAAGCAGGUCCCAAGGGUAUGGCUGUUCGCCAUUUAAAGAGGUACGCGAGCUGGGUUUAGAACGUCGUGAGACAGUUCGGUCCCUAUCUACCGUGGGCGCUGGAAAUUUGAGAGGAUCUGCUCCUAGUACGAGAGGACCAGAGUGGACGAACCUCUGGUGUACCGGUUGUGACGCCAGUCGCAUCGCCGGGUAGCUAUGUUCGGAAGGGAUAACCGCUGAAAGCAUCUAAGCGGGAAGCCUACCUCAAGAUAAGAUUUCCCUAGGACUUUAUGUCCUCUAAAGAGCCGUUCGAGACUAGGACGUUGAUAGGUUGGAUGUGGAAGCAUAGUGAUAUGUGAAGCUGACCAAUACUAAUUGCUCGUGAGGCUUGACUAUACAACACCC
rnacentral:rRNA from 2 species